GACGAACGCUGGCGGCGUGCUUAACACAUGCAAGUCGAACGGAAAGGCGCUGCUUUUGUGGGGUUCUCGAGUGGCGAACGGGUGAGUAACACGUGAGUAACCUUCCCUUGACUUGGGGAUGACUGCAGGAAACUGGGGCUAAUACCGGAUAGGAGCUCCUGCUGCAGGGUGGGGGUUGGAAAGUUUCGGCGGUUGGGGAUGGACGCGGGGCUUAUGAGCUUGUGGGUGGGGGAGUGGCUUACCAAGGCUUUGACGGAUAGCCGGCAUGAGAGGGUGACCAGGGACCAGGGGACUACGAUAGGCCGCAGUGGGCUAUGGGAGGCAGUAGGGGAGAGUCUGACCCAAUGGGGGGAAGUGUGAUGAGAAAGCGCUGGGUGCGGGAUGCAGGCUUUCGGGGUAUAAACGGCUUUCGCCUGUGACGAUGCGUGAGUGACGGUAACGGGUGAAGAAGCACCGGCUAACUACGUG
rnacentral:rRNA from 1 species